UACGUAGGGUGCAAGCGUUUAAUCGGAAUUACUGAGCGUAAAGCGUGCGCAGGCGGUUUUGUAAGUCUGUCGUGAAAGCCCCGGGCUCAACCUGGGAAUUGCGAUGGAGACUGCAAGGCUUGAAUCUGGCAGAGGGGGGUAGAAUUCCACGUGUAGCAGUGAAAUGCGUAGAGAUGUGGAGGAACACCGAUGGCGAAGGCAGCCCCCUGGGUCAAGAUUGACGCUCAUGCACGAAAGCGUGGGGAGCAAACAGG
rnacentral:rRNA from 1 species